rnacentral:rRNA from 1 species
AGAGUUUGAUCCUGGCUCAGGAUGAACGCUGGCGGCGUGCUUAAUACAUGCAAGUCGAACGAAGAGCCUUUGUAGCAAUACGAGGGUUUCUUAGUGGCGAACGGGUGCGUAACGCGUUGGUGACCUGCCCCGAAGUGUGGGAUAACAGUUCGAAAGGACUGCUAAUACCGCAUGUGGACACGAGGGUUAGAGGCUUUGUGUCUAAAGCAGUAAUGCGCUUUGGGAGGGACCUGCGUCCCAUCAGUUAGUUGGUAGGGUAGUGGCCUACCAAGACUUCGACGGGUAGGGGACCUGAGAGGGUGGUCCCCCACACUGGCACUGAAACACGGGCCAGACACCUACGGGUGGCAGCAGUAGGGAAUAUUGGGCAAUGGGCGAAAGCCUGACCCAGCAACGCCGCGUGCACGAUGAAGGUCUUCGGAUCGUAAAGUGCUUUUCUGAGAGAUGAGAAAGGACAGUAUCUCAGGAAUAAGUCUCGGCUAACUACGUGCCAGCAGCCGCGGUAAAACGUAGGAGGCAAGCGUUAUCCGGAUUUACUGGGCGUAAAGCGCGUGCAGGCGGUUCGACAAGUUGGAUGUGAAAGCUCCUGGCUCAACUGGGAGAGGUCGUUCAAUACUGUCGAACUCGAGAGCGGUAGAGGGAGGUGGAAUUCCCGGCGUAGUGGUGAAAUGCGUAGAUAUCGGGAGGAACACCAGUGGCGAAAGCGGCCUCCUGGACCGUUUCUGACGCUCAGACGCGAAAGCUAGGGUAGCAAACGGGAUUAGAGACCCCGGUAGUCCUAGCUGUAAACGAUGUGAACUUGGCGUCGGUAGUGUAAAAACUAUCGGUGCCGAAGCUAACGCGAUAAGUUCACCGCCUGGGGACUACGGCCGCAAGGUUAAAACUCAAAGGAAUUGACGG